GAUUAAUUUUUUUACAAAAACAAAUAAGUGUUUAAAAUAAAAAUUUUAAGUUAUGAAAAGAGAAGAGGUAGGAAAAGUAUUUUUAAUUCAACAUUUACAGAGUGAAUCAGGAGAAGAAGUGUUGGUAAUUUAUUUUGAAACAGAUUUUAUCACGAGAAGAAGUGGUAAAAAUAAUGAUAUUCUUUUAUUCAACAUUUACGGAUUGAAUUACGAGAAAAAGUGGUUGUAAUUGAUUUAAAACAUAUUGCAUCACGAGAAGAAAUAGAAAAAUAUUGCUAUACUUAAGUAUCAAGAUUAAAAUACUGUUGUACCGUUAAACUGAAGGUGACAAUAAAGUUUACAAAAUUUGCUCUGGCUGAAUUUUUCAAUGAAAAAACAAUAUGUGUGCCAUGAAUGUAACCUGUUUUUCAUGGCAGAUCAAUGAAAAUUUGGUGUAUUGGUUAAAUCACUUGCAAGCAUCUUGCCUUUAGGCUGCGAUACGUGAAAUCACGCUUUUAAAAGUAACUGAAAGCAGCUGAAAAUAAGAAUUUUUGUUUUAUUUUGUUAUGAGACUGGUUUAGAGCGGAAUUAUCUGUGCCUCCAGCUUAAAGGUUGCAGGUUACAAAAAAGUGACACUGAUGAGAUUGUUUAUCAGUUUCUCAAAGAUUGAAGAAAUCUUAAGUGUUUUAGGGUUAAGUGUUUCCAUCUGAGCUUUGCUUGACCAUCUCUUUCAAUUU